CUCCCAUAGCACCCACCCUGCCUGUCUGACCUCCUUUCCCAUCUCUCUCUCUCUUUUUUGGCUUUUUUAAGACAAAGUCUCCCUGUGCAGUUCAGGCUGGCCUUGAAGUCACUGUCUCACCCAGGCUGGUCUCAAACUUGCAGAGAUCCUCCUGCCUCAGACUCUUGAGUGCUGGGAUUACAGGCAUGCACCACCACGCCCAGCUUCCCCCACUCUUAAUAUGUACACACAUGCACACAUCUCAUUUAUUGCCACCUUUAUUUAUUUAUUUACUUUUGGGUUUUUGAGACAGGAUCUCACAUUGUAGUUCAGGCUGAAACUGUUAUUCAUUUGUUUCUUGAUUCUGCAGUACUAGGGAUUGAACUCAGGGCUUAUGCACUGAGCUACGUCCCCAGCCCUUUUUUAUUUUGAGACAGGGUCUUGCUAAGUCACAAAGUUGCCCAGGCUGGGCUCAAACUUGCAAUCCUCCUGCCUCAGUCCCAUCCCCGAGUGCUGGGAAUGUAGGCCUGCACCACCAUGCCUGGCUUUGGGAUUUUAUUUUGAGGACCCCUGGCACUUCAUAGCGCCUGAGAAACAAACAGGUGCCUCUGCCUUCCAAGCCAGGCCAGGGAGAAGCUGCUCUCCCCAGGCUCUAUACCAGUAGGCUUGUUUGUGUUUCCUCAUCGCCUUUGUCCCUCUCUCUCCAAUGUCUUUAGAUGAGGCACACAAGCUCUUCCUAGGAACUGGAGCAUUUUAUCAAAGCUGGCUGAUUUCUUUCCCUCUCUCUCUCUCUCUCUCUCUCUUUCUCUCUCUCUUUCUCUCUUUCUUUCUUUCUUUCUUUCUUUCCUUUCUUUCUUGUACCAGGGAUCAAACUCAGGACCUUGCACUUGCCAGGCAGGCAGGGUUGAGCUACAUCCCCUGCUCCACAAGCUCUUCCUAGAGUAUCGUCCACCCAUGUGUCUUUGGGCUAUCAACCCACGUUUCAGGGACAAGGCCAUGCACUCUGUAAGUUCAGGUUUGGGGAUGAUUCUUCUUCACCUUGUGGAGUCUCAAGCCACUCCCCUACCUCAGUAAAUUCUCCGCUCAAUCUCAGUGGGUUUCCUGUCCACUGGAUCCACAGGUCCAAUGUGGUUGUGGAGCAGAGGGGAUUCACAAGGGAUCAUGGUGCCCUGGAAACCCUUGGUGUUGCCAAGGCAGCAGUAAGGUCCCAGGAAGUGCUCCCUGCUCAUGUGUUUUUUGCUGAAGUGGUGCAGCACAGUGGAAAGAGCACUCUUCUGGAUUCAAGUCUUGGCUCUCCCACCCAUUACCCACAUGGACCUGGGCAGCCACUUUGCAAGGCCUGGAAAAUGAGGGGAAUAAGACAGUGGUGGCAAACCUGUGGCACGCGUGCCGCAAUGGGCUGUUUGUUAUCACUGAAAGUUCUAAAAGUUCCGCCAUCAAUGGAGAUCAUCUUUCUACCUUGAGACCCAACCUCCUGUGGAAAAGUCUCUCUGUGCUUCAUCUGUCAUGGCCUCCAGUGCUGGUCUCCUCUAAGGCCUAGAGCAGAUACUAAUGGAAUUCAACACCCUCAGCAAACAUCUCCCCCCCCGACUCUGCUGGCCCUUGGAUUCAACCACAUUUAUAAAUUUAUUGGUUUGUUUUUUAUUUUUGUUUUUUUUUUCUAGCUUAUGGCUUGUGAUUCUUCUUUGACCUAGAAAGUUAUAUCUGGACCUAGGACCCCUAGAAAUUGUACCUUGACCUUUUUCCUUCCAUGCAGAGUUUUUCAUAGGGGCAUUUUUCAGCCCUUAAACCAAAGUUUGGCUUCAAAUCCAGAAUUUCCCCCAUGAAGUCUUUAUUGUGUGACUAUUCUCAGCCACGAUCCUACAGUAUUCGUUCCUACUGAGCCUUUUUUCCCAAUCCCCAGCAAACACCCUGCAAAGCUGGUGGAUGUACAACUACCAUACCCCAGGGAAGUUCUCAACUUGCUGCCAAGAUAGGAGCUCAGGUUUGAUCCCCAGCACUGCAACAAUAAACAAGUAAGGAGCUCAGAAAACUUCCCUCAUUCCCCAUAAGCCCAAGCCUAGUUCUUACAACCCCCCCACACACUCCUAGUCCAUGACUAUUUCCACAUUCACCCGGCUGUUAGCAUAGGAACAAUAAGUAAUUGCGUUCAGGACAAGAAAGAGAGUCCAGCCCCAUGAUAUGCUGGCUGGGGAAGUAUGCUUAAGGACCAUGCAUCUCUGGAAGGAAAGGGGAGCUUCAGGUGUUUCAGAGGCCCUCGGCCGUCUUGUGGAAGCUAACAUUUUGGGCAAUCAUCCUACCCCUGUGAUGAGACAAGUUGGUUAUGUCAGCCCUCCUCUGCCCUCAAACUAGACGGAUGGGGAUGGGGUGGAAACUGCCUCAAAAUCACCCUCACCCCAACCUGACCUGGUUCAGCACCAAAUUCCAGGAGGAAGAGCCGCAGUGAUCCGUCAGGCCAUCAGCUUGAAAUAAGGCAGGGGUCCAGGACAACUCAAAGCUCAGAGCCCUCCACACUUGGCCUUUGGAGGCACAAGCCCUCCUGAGCCCUCCUCGAACUCGAGCUAGCUCUUGUUCGCCUGCUCCCUGGAAGAGGAAGUUACAAAGAGGCCUGAGCUUCAAGUGAACUGCCCUGUCAGUCAGGCCCAGACGCUGAGGAGAGCAGGGGAUCCACAGCUGUGAAAUGGCUAAUUGGAAGGAAGACUGGCUUUGGGAGAAGUUGCAAACCUGCCGCUCCCUCCCGACCUUUCCCUGUGUGCUCCUGAGCUGCGUAGAAUAGCGUGGCAGGAACCGAAGCGCAGAGGUCUCCACCCGGGCUCUGGCCCGACACAUCCCUGGCAGCUGCGGCAUGGAAUCCUUCCCGGGAGCCCAGAGCCGCCCUUGCUCGCCUGCCGGGAUGGGACAGGACCAAGGAUGGGGGGUGGGGGUAGAAGGAACUGAGGGGAAGUUUCGAGGAGUGGGCGAGGCAGGGAGCGGGAUUCUCAUUGUAUUGAGUCAGUGUGACUUCACCGCUUCCCGAGAAGAGGCGCCCGGGGCAGGAGGCCGCCCAGAGCGCAGCAGCGGAGAGGUCG
rnacentral:lncRNA from 1 species